rnacentral:lncRNA from 1 species
AUGAGGCAGCCUCCCACUGCAGCCCUGGAGGGACAAAGCAGAAUGCCCCCUCAUGGACAGCUUCCUGCAGCCGGCCUGUGCUCGUGGAAGCAUGGUGGCCAGCAGUGUCUGGAAGCCAGCAGUUCCCUUGACGCCCUCCUGGGGAAGUCUCAUCAUGCAGUGCCUUCAGCAAGCCACCUCCCUGUGCACAACUUCCCUGGCACCCCUGGAAGGCAUAUUCCAGCAAGUUCUCCACAGGGACUUCUCUGCCGGGCACUGCGCCGGGGCCACGCUGUCUCCAACAAGGUCUGGACUUAGCCCUGAGGAGUAGCUCUUCCUCGGGCUCUCUGUCCCAGGAGUCUUGGCUGCUCCCUACGUUUGCCCUUCCAACUCUUGGAUUCUACAGGUGUUUGACUAUCAGUCUUAUCUCUAACCUUCAGGAUCUGGAAGCGACAUCAUUUUUGUAUUGAUUGGGUCCAGGGAGAAAUGCUGAGAUACCAUGUCACACCCACUAGAAUGGCACUAUCAGAAAGAUUACAGGUGUUGUUGAGGGUGUGGAGAAAUCAGAAUCCUGGUACACUGCUGGAGGGAAUGUCAAAUGGUGCAGCUGCUUUGGACAACAGUCUAGCAGUUCCCCAAACAGCUACAAUUGGAAUUCCUGUAUUGCCCAGCAAUUCCCCUCCUAGGCAUAUACCCAAGAGAAAUGAGGAGCUGUGUCCACACAAAAACUGGGACAUGAAUGUUCACAGCAGCAUUAUUCAUAAUAGACAGAGUAGAGACAAUCCAAAUGUCCACCAACUUAUGGAUGGAUAAGCAAAAUGUGGUCUAUACUUAAAAUCAACACUACUCAGCUAUAAGAAGGAAUGAAGUACUAACGCAUGGGACACCAUGGAUGAACCUUGAAAACGUUCUUCUGAGUGAAGGAAGUCAGACACAAAGACCACAUAUUAGGCCAGGCAUGGUAGCUUCGGAGAAUUGCUUGAGGCCAGGAGUUUGAGACCAGCCUGGGUCAUAUAGCAAGACCCCGUCUCUACAAAAAAUUUAAAAAUUAGCUGGGCACAGUCACGCACCCUGUAGUCCCAGCUCCCUGGAAGGCUAGAGGAUCACUUGAACCCAGGAGGUUGAGGCUGCAGUAGCCAAGAUGGUGCCA